UAUCCUCAAUUAACUAAUGCCAACUCAGAGGAUUAGCUGCGUCCAUAAGAGAAGACAGAACUGCUUUUCAGCACCUCUCUUUGUUAUUAUCAAUAGUACAUUUACUGUGUAUUCUCAACACAUGUUGACAAGUUGUGAGCAUUGCAAAUUCAGUGACAGAGUACAUGUGGCAGUGUGAGUCAAUAACUAUCGCAUGAAAGGACAGUUGUAAUUAAGCCAGCACGCAGAUUAACCAGAGAGGCACACUGAUGCUGGCUGAAGAAGGAAAUAGUGGAUUGAAAGUCUACACGGAGCAGUUUAAGUUAGAAGAAAAACACAUACUGUGUAUUUAAUGCUGUCUAUAACCCAAUUUGUUUCAGAACAGAGUCAGCUCCCUCUCCACUGUCCUGUACCUGAUAGAAGAUGCCUCCAUCAGGGAUAUCGCAGGGAGGCUUGUUCAUGUCCAGAAGGAUCACUGACAUUCCCUGGCUGGCCAGCUCUUUUCCCAACCUCAACCCUAAGUAUCCACCUCCUCCUGUCACCACCACCUUCCCUGUGGAGACACCGCGGGCCGGUGCUGCCUCCUCUCCCAGUCUGGAGGCCGCACUACCUGGGUUGCUGUAGCUGGUCGCCAUGGAUCCAUUUACCCUAUGGCAGAUGGCCUCGGUCGGGCUGGAGGCGAUGGCCGGAGCUGGGUGGCUGACCCACGGCUGGUGGGGGAGGUUGUGCAUGUGGUGUCCACUGGCCUGCAGGUGACAAAGUGGGGCACUGUGGCGGGGACGCUGCUUCACCUGGCACAGUGUGCCUCCACUCUCACUCAUGUUGGGACCACACAGCUCCAUAGAUGUCCAGAACUGUGGGGAAACAUUGGUUAUUCAUUGAUUUAGUAUAAACGUUGCAUAACUGUUGGUGUAAACUGACCCAAAACCUUUUUUUUUUGUAACAUUGGUGGUUGUGACAGGAUCUUAGAGCAACUGGGACCGUACAUCUUAUUAUUAAUUUAGGCUUGGGUAAACUUGCAGUUUACCCUUCCACCUAGCAAAAUCCAGCUGUUGUUCUCUAUUACUAUUGCAUUUUUUAGAAAGAAUAUGUCCUCCCCCCUCAUAUUUAUACAUUUCUGUCCACUGUCUGCCUUUUUCAUGCCCUCUGCGACUUUAUUUCUAAAAAUCUCCCGCAAGGAGAAAGCUGACAGCUUUGAUUGUCCCCACCAAUGGUGACAUGAAAUAGCCGCCCUUGACCAGGUAUAUUUGGGGUCUCCACUAGAAUUCCAAAUAUAAUCCAAUGCAUCUGAACUAUGUUUGGCUGCAUGGCAUGAGUUUGUGAUGACUGACUGCUGCUUGAUAAGGGGUUAAAUUGAGAAAACUGUAGAAAAUGCUGAAAUGGACAGAAUGCCAGCAUGCAUUUGGUAUAGCCUAUAAAACAACUCAAUAACAGUAUUUCAUUUUCAUCUUUUCAUUUACAUUACACAGUUUAAAGGAUUUUGUCAGUUGUGCAGA